AAAGUCGUAACAAGGUUUCCGUAGGUGAACCUGCGGAAGGAUCAUUACCGAGAUCAUGCCCUCACGGGUAGACCUCCACCCUAUGUUUACUACACCUCGUUGCUUUGGCGGGCCGCUUCGGCUACCGGCUUCGGCUGGUACGCGCCCGCCAGGGAACCAACAACCCUGAAUUUUCGUGUCGUCUGAGAAAAAACAUAAUAUUAAAACUUUCAACAACGGAUCUCUUGGCUCUG
rnacentral:misc_RNA from 1 species